AUAUCAUUCUGGCUUAUCCAGUUAUAAAAGUGUAGUAUCUGUUCUUAUCAGUUUAAUAACUGAUAUGUUCCUUAUCUGGGGACCAUAUAUUAAAUUGAUUUUUAGAACAGGGAGAUGGAAUAGAGGCUUUCUCCAUCCACUCCAAGCAUCGAGCUGGUAUUGCAGUACUUCCAGAAAUGGUACACAAAAA